rnacentral:rRNA from 1 species
GGCUCAGAUUGAACGCUGGCGGCAGGCCUAACACAUGCAAGUCGAACGGUAACAGGAAGCAGCUUGCUGCUUYGCUGACGAGUGGCGGACGGGUGAGUAAUGUCUGGGAAACUGCCUGAUGGAGGGGGAUAACUACUGGAAACGGUGGCUAAUACCGCAUAACGUCGCAAGACCAAAGAGGGGGACCUUCGGGCCUCUUGCCAUCAGAUGUGCCCAGAUGGGAUUAGCUKGUUGGUGAGGUAACGGCUCACCAAGGCGACGAUCCCUAGCUGGUCUGAGAGGAUGACCAGCCACACUGGAACUGAGACACGGUCCAGACUCCUACGGGAGGCAGCAGUGGGGAAUAUUGCACAAUGGGCGCAAGCCUGAUGCAGCCAUGCCGCGUGUAUGAAGAAGGCCUUCGGGUUGUAAAGUACUUUCAGCGGGGAGGAAGGUGUUGYGGUUAAUAAC